rnacentral:rRNA from 1 species
UGGGGAAUAUUGGACAAUGGGCGCAAGCCUGAUCCAGCCAUGCCGCGUGAGUGAUGAAGGCCCUAGGGUUGUAAAACUCUUUUGUGCGGGAAGAUAAUGACGGUACCGCAAGAAUAAGCCCCGGCUAACUUCGUGCCAGCAGCCGCGGUAAUACGAAGGGGGCUAGCGUUGCUCGGAAUCACUGGGCGUAAAGGGUGCGUAGGCGGGUCUUUAAGUCAGGGGUGAAAUCCUGGAGCUCAACUCCAGAACUGCCUUUGAUACUGAAGAUCUUGAGUUCGGGAGAGGUGAGUGGAACUGCGAGUGUAGAGGUGAAAUUCGUAGAUAUUCGCAAGAACACCAGUGGCGAAGGCGGCUCACUGGCCCGAUACUGACGCUGAGGCACGAAAGCGUGGGGAGCAAACAGGAUUAGAUACCCACGUAGUCCCUGAGCGGGCUGGCAAGGCGCAU